ACAGGGAUUUCUAUGAAAAUCAGCGAUAUUUUAGGGGAAAAACAGGGAUUUCUAUGAAAAUCAGCGAUAUUUUAGGGGAAAAUCAGGGAUUUCUAUGAAAAUAAGCGAUAUUUUAGGUUAAAAACAGGGAUUUCUAUGAAAAUAAGCGAUAUUUUAGGGGAAAAACAGGGAUUUCUAUGAAAAUAAGCGAUAUUUUAGGGGAAAAACAGGGAUUUCUAUGAAAAUAAGCGAUAUUUUAGGGGAAAAACAGGGAUUUCUAUGAAAAUAAGGGAUAUUUUAGGGAAAAACAGGGAUUUCCAUGAAAAUAAGCGAUAUUUUAGGGGAAAAACAGGGAUUUCCAUGAAAAUAAGGGAUAUUUUAGGGUUAAAAACAGGGAUUUCCAUGAAAAUAAGGGAUAUUUUAGGGGAAAAUCAGGGAUUUCCAUGAAAAUAAGCGAUA